rnacentral:tRNA from 1 species
UCCCUUUUGGUCCAGUGGUCAGGACCCAGAGCUUUCACUUCAGGGGCCCAGGUAUGAUUCCUGGUGAGGGAA